rnacentral:rRNA from 1 species
CCCUGAAGGGCCGUCGAAGACUACGACGUUGAUAGGUUGGGUGUGUAAGCGCUGUGAGGCGUUGAGCUAACCAAUACUAAUUGCCCGUGAGGCUUGACCAUAUAACACCCAAGCA